UACGGGGGGGGCAAGCGUUGUUCGGAAUUACUGGGCGUAAAGGGCGCGUAGGCGGGCGGACAAGUCUCUCGUGAAAGCCCACGGCUCAACCGUGGAAUUGCGGGAGAUACUGUCUGUCUUGAGUCCGGGAGAGGAGGGUGGAAUUCCCAGUGUAGCGGUGAAAUGCGUAGAUAUUGGGAGGAACACCGUUGGCGAAGGCGACUUUCUGGGCUGCUACUGACGCUGAGGCGCGAAAGUCAGGGGAGCGAACAGG
rnacentral:rRNA from 1 species